AGAGUCACUUAGAUGCCGAAAUCUUUUGCAUUUGUAUUCAGGGCCACCAGCUCUUUCAGAACCUCUGAUAUAGUUUGGAUGUGUAUCCCCACGCAAAUCUCAUAUGGAAACGUAAUUCCCAAUGUUGGAGGUGGGGCCUGGUAGGAGGUGAUUGGAUUGUGGGGGCGGAUUUCUCAUGAAUGGUUAGGAGAAUACACACCAGGGUGAAGGGUUAUGAGUGCAGCGACCGCGGAAAAGCCUUCAACGACCCUUCAACCCUUAGGAGCCAUGCAAGAACUCACCUCAAAGAGAAGCCCUUUGACUGCAGUCAGUGUGGAAAUGCAUUCUGGACCCUCUCAGCCCUGAAAAUCCACGAGACUUCACACUGGUGAGAGCCCUUACAAGUGUGAUCAGUGCAGGAAGGCAUACGGCCGGAGCUGCCACCUCAUUGCACACAAAAGAACGCACACUGGAGAGAGGCCCUGUAAGUGUCACGACUGUGGGAAAGUUUUCCGGCACCCCUCCACCUCAACAAGCAGGUGAGGAAUCACACGGCGGAGAAGCCCUACGCAUGCACGCAGUGCGGCAAAACCUUCCGCUGGACGUCGAACUUUAAUUUGCGCAAGAAGAACCGCAUGGCGGAGAAGAGCUAUCGUGUCCCCGGAGGAAACACGUGAGACUUCACAUAGUCAAGAAACCCGUGGAAUGUCGGCAGUGUAGGAAAACCUUCCGAAACCAGUCCAUCCUUAAGACUCACAUGAACUCUCACGCAGGACAGAAACUGUACGGGUGCGGUCUCUGCGGGAAAGCCUCCAGCGGGAGCUCAAGCCUCACUGCACACAGGAAGAUACACACACAAGAGUUAACGACUGCGCCAUCUGCAGGAAAGUCUUCAGUGAUUAUUUAUCCCGGCGGAGGCACACGAGCAUUCACCUUGUAAAGAAACGCGUUGAGAGUAGGCAGUGUGACAAAGCCUUCAGGAACCAGUCAACGCUGGAGAAGCACAUGCAAAGCCACAUGAGGGAGAAACCGUAGGAAUGCGAUCACUGUGGGAAAGCCUUCAGCAUCAGCUCCAACCUGAACGUGCACAGAAGGAUCCACACUGGUUUUCUUGCAACUAGGACCAUCCAUGUCCCACAACCCUGGCCAGUGACAAAUCAGCAGAUUCGCUGCAUGGGCUUCUGAGAAAGUUCUUGAACAGGGGUCAUUCUUAAACCUGAAUUCUUCCCUGUAUGUUUUGCUCUUUGCUUUACCCCCUACUUCUCACCUUGCAAGGAGAUUCGGUACCUAGUAUUGGAAGAUCCACCUUAUGACCAUGCGGAUGAAAGCCACAGUCUAAGGAAGUGACUGCAGAAAGCCCACAGCUACCCUGGCCUACCCUGUGGUUUCUUUGAGUGUCUGCACCAGCCCUGGACUUGUUACUUCCAGACGUCCUAUCACAUGAGAAAAAAUAAAACUGAUUAUGGGUUUAAGCUGC